rnacentral:lncRNA from 1 species
CCGUAGCGGGAACCGAAAGAUGUAUACACACAGGCAGAUCCACAGAGAGAGAGAGAGCGAGAGGGAGAGUCGAUGAAGGGUUGUCCUCCAACCGAGAGAGAGGGAUCGAGAACCUAAACCAGCGUGGAUGUAAAGAUUUGUGUAUCUAUAUAGUAUAUGUGUUUAACCGAUAACCAACAAGUGAAACUAGUUACAAUAUAUCUAUAGAAAACAAGCAACUGUAUUUAUUAAUCCCUACAUAUAUAUAUAUAUUUUUUUUUUUUGUGCGCGCAUCCAACUAAAUAAUAUUCAAUAAUCGGCUAUAGUUAGUGUCCACUGUGUGUGUGUGUGUCGCGGAGCACACACACACACGCACCCCCUCCCAGAACUAGCAAAUAUAAAGUAUCUAGAGUGUAAGGAUGGAGGAUCCAUGGAUCGAGUGGGAGUAGGAGGAGCCCAGGAGAAACCAAAGUGUGUGUAUAAGCAAAACAAAAAAGAAAACAAAAACAACUAUUGUACUAUCAAUCUAUGAAUGUAUCCAUGUAUGUAUCUAAAUGCAGCAGCAGCAGCAGCAGCGGCAGCGCGAGCCUUCGGGGCAGAUGAUAAGCGCUGCCAAAACUGAUAACGAUAAACGAUAAACAAUACUACCUAUCUAUGAUUAUCGAUAACGCAGAUAAACUACGAUAAAAUGUAAUCUUAGAGCCACCCUUACGAAAUAAGUGAAUAAUUCGCCCGCUCCUGGUUUUUUUUCUCCUUUUUUUGUAUCGUAUUGCUCGAGCAGAAUAAAAUUAAAUCAAAAACAAAAUAUAAAUAUCUAAAUGUUUAAGAGACCAACAGCCCCCAUAAACAGCCCCCGCUUAGACCUAUACAGACACACACACAAGCACACACAUAAAAUACAAUAAAAACAUACAUACAUAUAUAACGGCAUUGUACGAAUAUACAUUCGGCAGUGUGCGAAGGGACAGCAACAAUAACAAAAACCAACAACAAAAUACAAAGGAUGGCAAUGGAAGGAAAUCAAAACUAAAGAAGCGCAAAAAGAGCCAACAAAAAAUAAAAAUAAAAUAAAACAAAAGAAAGUUUAAAAAAAAAAACAACAAAAACAGAAAGAUAAAGAGAAAGCGAAACAAUAAAUGUAAUUAACAAACAUUUCAAAAAAUUCACAAAA